CGUGGGUGAGAUGUGAUGCCGAGCCGAUUGUGGUGAAGUGGAUGAUCCUAUGCUGCCGAGAAAAGCCUCUAGUGAGUGUUGUGGCGGCCCGUACCCUAAACCGACUCAGGUGGUCAGGUAGAGAAUACUAAGGCGAUCGGGUGAACUGUGGUUAAGGAACUCGGCAAAUUGCCCCCGUAACUUCGGGAGAAGGGGGACCUCUGCUGGUGAUGGGCUUUGCGCCUGGAGCUGGUGGGGGUCGCAGUGGCCAGGGGGAAGCGACUGUUUACUAAAAACACAGGUCCGUGCGAAGUCGUAAGACGAUGUAUACGGACUGACGCCUGCCCGGUGCCGGAACGUUAAGGGGACCGCUUAGUCAGCGCAAGCUGGCGAAGGUGAGAACUUAAGCGCCGGUAAACGGCGGUGGUAACUAUAACCAUCCUAAGGUAGCGAAAUUCCUUGUCGGGUAAGUUCCGACCUGCACGAAUGGCGUAACGACUUCCCCGCUGUCUCAACCACAGACCCGGCGAAAUUGCACUACGAGUAAAGAUGCUCGUUUCGCGCAGCAGGACGGAAAGACCCCGGGACCUUCACUACAGCUUGACAUUGGCGUUUGGAGCGUCUUGUGUAGGAUAGGUGGGAGACUGGGAAGCUCGGACGCUAGUUCGGGUGGAGUCAUUGGUGAAAUACCACUCUGGUCGUUUUGAACGUCUAACUCUGGUCCGUGAUCCGGAUCGGGGACAGUGUCUGGUGGGUAGUUUAACUGGGGCGGUUGCCUCCUAAAGGGUAACGGAGGCGCCCAAAGGUUCCCUCAGCCUGGUUGGCAAUCAGGUGUUGAGUGUAAGUGCACAAGGGAGCUUGACUGUGAGACUGACGGGUCGAGCAGGAGCGAAAGCUGGGACUAGUGAUCCGGCAUCGGCGUGUGGAAGCGGUGUCGCUCAACGGCUAAAAGGUACCCCGGGGAUAACAGGCUGAUCUUCCCCAAGAGUCCAUAUCGACGGGAUGGUUUGGCACCUCGAUGUCGGCUCGUCGCAUCCUGGGGCUGG
rnacentral:rRNA from 1 species